CCAAACUGAAUUAUGCAUUUAUAAUCAAAAGUGAGAUCGAGCAUCCGGUGAUUGUGGCGGGGAAAGUGUGGAACAACUUCCCGAGCGGGUUCACACCUCGUUUAAACAUGAAUCAAAGAGUGGCUUUCUGGUGGAUUCGUUGGCGAAUCACAUUACAGGCUGAAUGGAGGUGCAUAUUUUAGAAGAAUGGCUCACUAAGGAUUGUGUGCUGCAUCAAUCACGAUCGAGUCAACGCAAACAACAGUGCGACAACAAUGCAGCUUUGCAACCAAGGAACAGAAAGGAAAUACCCAACAUACUGUAUGUAAGCUAUGUUUGGUUUGUCUCGAUGUAGUUGAGUUUAUUGAGUGUCAGAUAAGGGGGGUGGAGUUGAGGGAAACCAAAGGGUUGGUGAUAAUUCAUGGUGUAAUUGCUAUAUGUUGUCAUUUUGCCCGGCACACAUGAUAAUAAUAUUUCUCCCUAAAAUAAGGUUUGAACGUUUUGUUUUUACAGAACUAAACUACAUCAUCAAGUGAAUACACCGUUUGUGACAAUUUUAACUGUUUUUACAAAGGUGUUCAAAUGGCUAAAUGUGACGGACUUGUGCAUCUAUAAUCUGUGAGUGUAAUAAUAUUUUUGUUAAAAUUUUACUCAAAACUAUUACAAACUAUCGCACAAUCUCCUUUAACAUCCCAUUGAGCUACUGUUUGUCCAUAAAUGACGGCUCUGAUGGGUCAGCCCGGAUCAUUUUGUUGGUUCAUGUUAUUUACAGGUGGUGCGAUGUUUCCUUUAUUGUAAUUAAAGUGAGAACUCCUCCGGUUAUGUGAAAGAAAAGAACCUCAAGCUUUUGCCAUCAUUCAAGAAUCUCCACUAAAGCAGCCAAAGGAAUAUAAAUACGGAGUCUUGUUCCUCCAGCUAGGAUGUUCAUCAGCAUGACUCAGUCGAAGGAGACGAAGGAGGCUUCUCUUUAACUCGGCAGUCAGAGGGAAUCAAUGCAGUGGACGGAGCCCAGUGGGUCACUCCCUCGCUGCUCCUUUGCAACCUUUGGUUUAUUUUUAACCGAUGUCAUGAAUGUUGGAAGAUGCCUAAAGGCAAGACACCUGCCUCACUUUUUGACGUUGUCAUUUCAGCACGCUCCAAAGGUGACCCGCCACCACAACUGGCCCCUCCAAUCUACAGCAGAACCUGGCAUAGCAGGAGAGUUAUGCAACUUGGGCUCCACCACCACCAUCACGUGUCUGGACUCCCAAGGGGGGGAUAUGCCUCGUCUCGGCUCGAGAUCCCGGCCCCGGGUCUAUCCUGCGGCAGGAUGGAGUCCAAGCCCCAAACAACUUGCAAUAUCAUAUUAUGCCUGUUAUA
ensembl:lncRNA